GACGAACGCUGGCGGCGUGCCUAAUACAUGCAAGUCGAACGCAGUGGGGACGGGUGAGUAACACGUGGGUAACCUCCCAUCAGAGGGGAUAACACUUGGAAACAGGUGCUAAACCGAUAUUGAUGGCUGGACCCGCGGUGCAUUAGCUAGUUGGUGAGGUAACAGCUCACCAAGGCCACGAUGCAUCACCGACCUGAGAGUGUGAUCGGCCACACUGUGACUGAGACACGGCCCAGACUCCUAAGUGAGGCAGCAGUAGGGAAUCUUCGGCAAUGGAGGAAAGUCUGACCGAGCAACGCCGCGUGAGGGAAGAAGGUUGUCGGAUCGUAAAACUCUGUUGUUAGAGAAGCGGUAUCUAACCAGAAAGCCACGGCUAACUACGUGCCAGCAGCCGCGGUAAUUC
rnacentral:rRNA from 1 species